ACGCUGGCGGCAUGCUUAACACAUGCAAGUCGAACGGAAAGGCCCUGCUUUUGUGGGGUGCUCGAGUGGCGAACGGGUGAGUAACACGUGAGUAACCUGCCCUUGACUUUGGGAUAACUUCAGGAAACUGGGGCUAAUACCGGAUAGGAGCUCCUGCUGCAUGGUGGGGGUUGGAAAGUUUCGGCGGUUGGGGAUGGACUCGCGGCUUAUCAGCUUGUUGGUGGGGUAGUGGCUUACCAAGGCUUUGACGGGUAGCCGGCCUGAGAGGGUGACCGGCCACAUUGGGACUGAGAUACGGCCCAGACUCCUACGGGAGGCAGCAGUGGGGAAUAUUGCACAAUGGGCGGAAGCCUGAUGCAGCAACACCGCGUGCGGGAUGACAGCCUUCGGGUUGUAAACCGCUUUCGCCUGUGACGAAGCGUGAGUGACGGUAAUGGGUAAAGAAGCACCGGCUAACUACGUGCCAGCAGCCGCGGUGAUACGUAGGGUGCGAGCGUUGUCCGGAUUUAUUGGGCGUAAAGGGCUCGUAGGUGGUUGAUCGCGUCGGAAGUGUAAUCUUGGGGCUUAACCCUGAGCGUGCUUUCGAUACGGGUUGACUUGAGGAAGGUAGGGGAGAAUGGAAUUCCUGGUGGAGCGGUGGAAUGCGCAGAUAUCAGGAGGAACACCAGUGGCGAAGGCGGUUCUCUGGGCCUUUCCUGACGCUGAGGAGCGAAAGCGUGGGGAGCGAACAGGCUUAGAUACCCUGGUAGUCCACGCUGUAAACGGUGGGUACUAGGUGUGGGGUCCAUUCCACGGGUUCCGUGCCGUAGCUAACGCUUUAAGUACCCCGCCUGGGGAGUACGGCCGCAAGGCUAAAACUCAAAGGAAUUGACGGGGCCCCGCACAAGCGGCGGAGCAUGCGGAUUAAUUCGAUGCAACGCGUAGAACCUUACCUGGGUUUGACAUGGAUCGGGAGCGCUCAGAGAUGGGUGUGCCUCUUUUGGGGUCGGUUCACAGGUGGUGCAUGGCUGUCGUCAGCUCGUGUCGUGAGAUGUUGGGUUAAGUCCCGCAACGAGCGCAACCCUUGUUCACUGUUGCCAGCACGUUAUGGUGGGGACUCAGUGGAGACCGCCGGGGUCAACUCGGAGGAAGGUGGGGAUGACGUCAAGUCAUCAUGCCCCUUAUGUCCAGGGCUUCACGCAUGCUACAAUGGCUGGUACAGAGAGUGGCGAGCCUGUGAGGGUGAGCGAAUCUCGGAAAGCCGGUCUCAGUUCGGAUUGGGGUCUGCAACUCGACCUCAUGAAGUCGGAGUCGCUAGUAAUCGCAGAUCAGCAACGCUGCGGUGAAUACGUUCCCGGG
rnacentral:rRNA from 1 species